CUGUUCUAGACAUAAAGGAAUAGGCAGUGUUGUUAAGUUCCCUUCUUCAGUCUUCUCUUAAGCUGAAAGUCCAACGAUUUCAAGAUUCAAUUAAUUAGAGACAUGGAGAGCCAAAGAACAAGAUACCUGUACGGAGAGCUCCGGAGGCAUUUCCAUAGGCUCAUUGUCAAGUAAAUGUUAAAGCCCCCAUUCACUGGGAAGCAAAGGAUUGCUUUGGGAUCUUCUGCAUAUGAGAGAUAUUAAAAAGAUGAAACAGUAGGACUGGAAUCUGAGGGGAGAAAUAGAGAAAAACCUGGUUUCCAGCCUCUUUUAUGGGAGAAUGAGUUAUAUGUUUGCUUGACAGAAAUGGGAUUAUUUUAAGAGAUUAACACAGGAAAUAAUGGUACGCAGUACCAUUCUUCUGAACAGAUUUUGCUCCCAUCGUCCACCUAAUAAAUUCCCACUCAUCCUUCAAGACCCAGUUUAGAUGUCACCUCCUCAGUACCAGUUUGAACAUCAUCUACAUACAAUGAAUCAGAAGAGAUAUCAUGGCCCAAAGAAAUAUGCGAAGUGAGAUGAAAGCCAAAAACAUACCUUCAGCAAUGCCUAUAUUUAGGCAUAACUCCCUGUUAUUUCAGAACAGGCCCCAUGAAGGAGACGGAAAAGGAAUUUUUUAAGUUAUAGGAUGAAAACCAAUAGAAAUUUUGUUCCGGAGGCCAAUUAAAAUGACAAAGUAUUAAUAGAAAGGUUCAAAUACUACAGAGUUAUCAAUAAGAGGAGGAGGAAGACCAAAAAGACACAUUUGAGUCUUACUGAUGAUCUUAAUAAAGCAGUUUCAGGAGAGUUACUGAAUACUGCUAGAUAACUAUACUCUCCUUUAUUCUCCAGCCAAAAACAGCAAAAUACUCAGAGGACCUGAAACUACACGCACACGCGCGCGCACGCAUUUCCAUACAGAGAAAACCAGAUGGAAAAACUGACAGCUUGAGAUGACGUUUAAGAAGAUGAAGGAUCCUGGGGGUAGAGGGCAUUAAGCAAGCAGGGCAAUGAGAAGGAAACUUAGAAAAGGGAUUUUUCUCGUGUCUUUCCUUGGAGGGAGAUGGAGAUCCUGCUAAACAGGAAAAGUAAAGAACUUUUGUCCACCAUUCUCUAGAUUUUAUGUGUAGGUGAUUGAUUGUCUAACAGUAACAAAAUUUUCACAAUGUCAAAUGUUAAGGGUACAACAAAAGAGUUACAAAAGGAAGAUAAGGCUAUAACUUGAAAGUAGAAUUGAGGAAAAGAUUUUGCUAGGCUGAGGGAAGGAGACAGAAGAAAGGAAUACAUUGUCAAGACAAUAGUGAGAAGAGAAUUAAUGGAGUAGAGUACUAGAAGAGUAUUUAUGUGUGUGUGUGUGUGUGUGUGUGUGUGUGUGUGUGUACGUGUGCACAGGCACACGUGCUAGGACUGCAAGGAAAGAGGGAUUGGAUCAGGGUAAUAGUUUGGUUUACAUUCAAUUC